GACGAACGCUGGCGGCGUGCUUAACACAUGCAAGUCGAACGGAAAGGCCCUGCUUUUGUGGGGUGCUCGAGUGGCGAACGGGUGAGUAACACGUGAGUAACCUGCCCUUGACUUUGGGAUAACUUCAGGAAACGGGGGCUAAUACCGGAUAGGAGCUCCUGCUGCAUGGUGGGGGUUGGAAAGUUUCGGCGGUUGGGGAUGGACUCGCGGCUUACCAGCUUGUUGGUGGGGUAGUGGCUUACCAAGGCUUUGACGGGUAGCCGGCCUGGGAGGGUGACCGGCCACCUUGGGCCUGCGAUACGGCCCAGACUCCUACGGGAGGCAGCAGUGGGAAAUACUGCACAAUGGGCGGAAGCCUGAUGCAGCAACGCCGCGUGCGGGAUGACGGCCUUCGGGUUGUAAACCGCUUUCGCCUGUGACGAAGCGUGAGUGACGGUAAUGGGUAAAGAAGCACCGGCUAACUACGUG
rnacentral:rRNA from 1 species